rnacentral:rRNA from 1 species
UACGGAGGGUGCAAGCGUUGUUCGGAUUUAUUGGGCGUAAAGGGCGUGUAGGCGGUUCGUUAAGUCUGAUGUGAAAGCCCCGGGCUCAACCCCGGGAAGUGCAUUGGAAACUGGCGAACUUGAGUACGGGAGAGGGCAGUGGAAUUCCGUAGUGUAGGAGUGAAAUCCGUAGAUAUUAGGAGGAACACCGGUGGCGGAAGGCGGCUGCCUGGACCGAUGACUGACGCUGAGACGCGAAAGCGUGGGGAGCAAACAGG